AGAGUUUGAUCCUGGCUCAGAUUGAACGCUGGCGGCAUGCCUAACACAUGCAAGUCGAACGGCAGCACAGCAGUAGCAAUACUGUGGGUGGCGAGUGGCGGACGGGUGAGGAAUACAUCGGGACCUGCCCAGACGUGGGGGAUAACGUAGGGAAACUUACGCUAAUACCGCAUACGUCCUACGGGAGAAAGCGGGGGAUCUUCGGACCUCGCGCGGUUGGAUGGACCGAUGUUCGAUUAGCUAGUUGGUAGGGUAAUGGCCUACCAAGGCGACGAUCGAUAGCUGGUCUGAGAGGAUGAUCAGCCACACUGGGACUGAGACACGGCCCAGACUCCUACGGGAGGCAGCAGUGGGGAAUAUUGGACAAUGGGCGCAAGCCUGAUCCAGCAAUGCCGCGUGUGUGAAGAAGGCCUUCGGGUUGUAAAGCACUUUUAUCAGGAGCGAAAUACCACGGGCUAAUACCCUAUGGGGCUGACGGUACCUGAGGAAUAAGCACCGGCUAACUUCGUGCCAGCAGCCGCGGUAAUACGAAGGGUGCAAGCGUUAAUCGGAAUUACUGGGCGUAAAGCGUGCGUAGGCGGUGAUUUAAGUCUGCUGUGAAAUCCCCGGGCUCAACCUGGGAAUGGCAGUGGAUACUGGAUCGCUAGAGUGUGAUAGAGGAUGGUGGAAUUCCCGGUGUAGCGGUGAAAUGCGUAGAGAUCGGGAGGAACAUCAGUGGCGAAGGCGGCCAUCUGGAUCAACACUGACGCUGAGGCACGAAAGCGUGGGGAGCAAACAGGAUUAGAUACCCCAGUAGUCC
rnacentral:rRNA from 1 species